rnacentral:rRNA from 1 species
AUUGAACGCUGGCGGCAGGCCUAACACAUGCAAGUCGAACGGUAACAGGAAACAGCUUGCUGUUUCGCUGACGAGUGGCGGACGGGUGAGUAGUGUCUGGGAAACUGCCUGAUGGAGGGGGAUAACUACUGGAAACGGUAGCUAAUACCGCAUAACGUCGCAAGACCAAAGAGGGGGACCUUCGGGCCUCUUGCCAUCGGAUGUGCCCAGAUGGGAUUAGCUAGUAGGUGGGGUAACGGCUCACCUAGGCGACGAUCCCUAGCUGGUCUGAGAGGAUGACCAGCCACAAUGGAACUGAGACACGGUCCAGACUCCUACGGGAGGCAGCAGUGGGGAAUAUUGCACAAUGGGCGCAAGCCUGAUGCAGCCAUGCCGCGUGUAUGAAGAAGGCCUUCGGGUUGUAAAGUACUUUCAGCGGGGAGGAAGGGAGUAAAGUUAAUACCUUUGCUCAUUGACGUUACCCGCAGAAGAAGCACCGGCUAACUCCGUGCCAGCAGCCGCCGUAA